UGCCUCUGCUCUGCGUAAAGGGGGAUUAUGACCCCCCCUUGUGCGAUCCGGGUUCCCGGAAGUGGCUCCUGAUGAAAUAUCUUGCUCCGCCUUAAUAAUCUUUGUAUUUAGUACAUCUGUAUAGCUAACACUACGGCUCUGGUGUCUGUAAGACAAUACAGGCAUCUAAAAGAGGAUGGAACUCACUAACACUACAAUAUGUACUUAAUGUCUCUAUGUCUUAUUUUUCAUUUUAGAUGAAGAUGUCUGUCAAUGGCUUCAGUCCAUCAAUUUAAUUGAUGGCAAAAAGAUAGUAUCCAUUACCUUUGACUAUCUUUAAGUGUCCAAUUUGUGAUGUAAAGUUUUACCUUGCCAAAUAUUUGCAACAUCUACAGCUACUUCAUCAGCAUCUUCCUGAUUUCUGCAUUGUUUGCAUUAUUUUUAAUGUAAUUAAAGUCUAUUGUCAUACUUGCAUUAACAGAACAGCAAAUUAAUGGGGAGACUGCUGGGGUUGACAGAGGGGAUGGUUGAACAACUGUUUCCUCUGAUGAAACACAGUCUUGUUUUUGAGAGGUGGAAAAGUUACGCAAAUCAUCGUUGGUUCAGUACCCAAACCAUAAAAAAUACACUGAUGUCCUGUGGUGUCUGAUCACUAGAUAUCCAUUUCUUAAUGACCACAGCUAAUCUGGUUAUGAGACCCUGCUGGAGUGUCUUAGGAAUAAGUUCAAAAAGGAAAGGUCUCCUUUGCUAAACCUGACGACGGUGCAGGAGAUUAAGAGAAAGUUUGGUGUCAGAAGACAAAGAUUUGUGGACCAUGUGCCUCUGGAGGACCCACCUGGACAUCAGAGAGCAAAAAAGUACAGAGUGGGGGUCCAGAUGUCUUCUGAUUACGAGCCAACACAAGAGAUUAUGUUGGACCUUGAAGCAGUUGGGGAGGACUACCACAGCUUUCAAGAGCAUAUAAACGCCAUAAAACAAUUAGUUGUGCCGUCGUCAGCCAGAUAUUAGUCAUAUAAUGGACAGGAUGAGGCAAACUGUCUAUAAGAGGGUAGAGCAAAUGGGAAAGCAACUGAGGAGGUGAUGGAGAUGUUCCAAUUUCUUUGGGUGCCAGAGCUGAUGCAUCAUGAAAUGAAGUUGCGGUUUGGACUGGACUUAAAGCUAAGCCUGCAUAACACCAUCAGUAUAUUGACCCCUAACGUCAUCAGAGUGGCUGACAGUGGGAGUCGGAGGGAGAGGCCUACGAGAUACUAACACAGAUGACCUUCAAAAAAGUGCCUGCUGUCCUAAUUUUGCCUGCCCUUUUUAAGGAGGAUGCCAAGUUUCUGUAUUGUUUAGACGAGGAACCACUGAGCGUGUUUCCAACCAUCAUCUUCCAGGGUGGCGAUACUCCCCUCCUUGCCAGGAGAGCAUCCAUAAAGAUGGAUGGCAUCACAAUAGCAAGUGGAGAGAUGGAUGUGCCACAUGUCCUCUAAUGCGAAUUUGUCAUUGGCCCCUCCCCUGACAUUGAUGCUUCUUUAGGCCUUGUCUGUAUUUUUUGUUUAUAUUUUCUUUUUGAUGUUCAGUACCCAAAAAAGGCCCACCACACAUUACUAUUCUUUGAAAGACGCCUUAACCUGUCUAUGUCUAAGCCCUCCACUCCAGUGUUGCGUGUGGAAAAAAUGUUAUCAGAAAGUGUGUUUUAUAAUCAUUUGAAAUUUAUUAAUUUGUAAAAAUGUAACUAUUGCUGUUUGGAGCGUAUUUAUGACACAUUUUUUAUGCAAGUAAUAUAGAAGAUAUGUUUAAGCAAUGAAUAUGUAAAUUAAUGUAAAUAUGUAUCUAUUGUUGUUUUGAGUGUCUUAUGACACACAUUUUUUGCGAUUAAUAUAAAAGAUAUGCUAAAGCAAUGAAUAUGUAAAUGAAUGUAGAAAUACUGAAUACAGUACUUGAAUGAUA